GGGCCCGCACAAGCGGUGGAGCAUGUGGUUUAAUUCGAUGCAACGCGAAGAACCUUACCAGGGCUUGACAUACUGCAGAUCUUUUUGAGAAAGAAGAGUGCCUUCGGGAAUGCAGAUACAGGUGGUGCAUGGCUGUCGUCAGCUCGUGUCGUGAGAUGUUGGGUUAAGUCCCGCAACGAGCGCAACCCUUAUUUUUAGUUACCAACUUGUUGGGUUCUCUAGAAAGACUGCCGGUGACAAACCGGAGGAAGGUGAGGAUGACGUCAAGUCAGCAUGCCCCUUAUGUCCUGGGCUACACACGUGCUACAAUGGUUAAGACAAAGAGUCGCGAGUUCGUGAGAACCAGCUAAUCUCGUAAACUUAGCCUAAGUUCAGAUUGUAGGCUGCAACUCGCCUACAUGAAGUUGGAAUC
rnacentral:rRNA from 1 species